rnacentral:rRNA from 1 species
UACCAGCACCCCGAGUGGUCGGGACGUUUUAUUGGGCCUAAAGCAUCCGUAGCCGGUUCUACGAGUCUUCCGUUAAAUCCAACUGCUUAACAGGUGGGCUGCGGAAGAUACUAUAGAGCUAGGAGGCGGGAGAGGCAAGCGGUACUCGAUGGGUAGGGGUAAAAUCCGUUGAUCCAUUGAGGACCACCAGUGGCGAAGGCGGCUUGCCAGAACGCGCUCGACGGUGAGGGAUGAAAGCUGGGGGAGCAAACCGG